rnacentral:rRNA from 1 species
GAGUUUGAUCAUGGCUCAGGAUGAACGCUGGCGGCGUGCUUAACACAUGCAAGUCGAACGGGCUCAUAUUGAAACCUAGUGAUUUAUGAGUUAGUGGCGGACGGGUGAGUAACGCGUGGAAAACCUGCCGUAUACUGGGGGAGUAACACUUAGAAAUAGGUGCUAAUACCGCAUAAGCGCACAGCUUCGUCAUGAAGUGGUGUGAAAAACUACUGGUGGUAUACGAUGGUUCCGCGUCU